UACGUAGGGUGCAAGCGUUUGUCCGGAAUUAUUGGGCGUAAAGAGCUCGUAGGCGGUCUGUCACGUCGGCUGUGAAAACCCGGGGCUCAACCCCGGGCCUGCAGUCGAUACGGGCAGACUGGAGUACUGCAGGGGAGACUGGAAUUCCUGGUGUAGCGGUGGAAUGCGCAGAUAUCAGGAGGAACACCAGUGGCGAAGGCGGCUCACUGGCCCGAUACUGACGCUGAGGCACGAAAGCGUGGGGAGCAAACAGG
rnacentral:rRNA from 1 species